CCUACGGGAGGCAGCAGUGGGGAAUCUUGCGCAAUGGGCGAAAGCCUGACGCAGCCAUGCCGCGUGUAUGAUGAAGGUCUUAGGAUUGUAAAAUACUUUCACCGGUGAAGAUAAUGACUGUAGCCGGAGAAGAAGCCCCGGCUAACUUCGUGCCAGCAGCCGCGGUAAUACGAAGGGGGCUAGCGUUGCUCGGAAUUACUGGGCGUAAAGGGAGCGUAGGCGGACAUUUAAGUCAGAGGUGAAAUCCCGGAGCUUAACUUCGGAACUGCCUUUGAUACUGGGUGUCUUGAGUGUGAGAGAGGUAUGUGGAACUCCGAGUGUAGAGGUGAAAUUCGUAGAUAUUCGGAAGAACACCAGUGGCGAAGGCGACAUACUGGCUCAUUACUGACGCUGAGGCUCGAAAGCGUGGGGAGCAAACAGGAUUAGAUACCCUGGUAGUCCACGCCGUAAACGAUGAUUGCUAGUUGUCGGGAAGCUUGCUUCUCGGUGACGCAGCUACGACAUAAGUACAUCCGCCGUGGGAGGUACGGUCGGCGAAGAAGUUAAACGUAACUUAAAGAAGUAGUUAGGACGUGNGAGNGCGACGGACGACGACGAGGAGGAGGAG
rnacentral:rRNA from 1 species